GCCUGGGUGGCUCAGUUAGUUAAGCAUCUGCCUUCAGCUCAGGAUGGAGCUCAGGAUGGAGUCCUGCCUCAGGCU
rnacentral:tRNA from 1 species